CACUCCUGUUACCCAGGCUGGAGGACAAUGAUGUGAUCUCGGGUCACCACAACCUCCGCCUCCCGGAUUCAAGCGAUUCUCAUGCCUCAGCCUCCCGAGUAGCUCAGAUUACAGGCAUGUGCCACCACGCCCGGCUAAUUUUGUAUUUUCAGUCGAGACGGGGUUUCCCCAUGUUGGUCAGGCUAGUCUUGAAUUCCCGACCUCAGGUGAUCUGUUCGCCUCGGCCUCCCAAAGUGCUGGGAUUACAGGCGUGAACCACUGCACCCGGCGAGGUGAGGUAU
rnacentral:lncRNA from 1 species